UACGUAGGUGGCGAGCGUUGUCCGGAUUCAUUGGGCGUAAAGCGCGCGCAGGUGGUGCGGUAAGUCUGUCGUGAAAUCUCCCGGCUCAACUGGGAGGGUGCGGUGGAGACUGCCGGACUGGAGGCACUCAGAGGCCGGUGGAAUCCCGGUGUAGUGGUGAAAUGCGUAGAGAUCGGGAGGAACAUCAGUGGCGAAGGCGGCCUUCUGG
rnacentral:rRNA from 1 species